GACGAACGCUGGCGGCGUGCCUAACACAUGCAAGUGGAGCGACGAACCGGGGCUUGCCCCGGGGCAGAGCCGCGAACGGGUGAGUAACACGUGAGUAACCUGCCCUGGACUUUGGGAUAACUUCAGGAAACUGGGGCUAAUACCGGAUAGGAGCUCCUGCUGCAUGGUGGGGGUUGGAAAGUUUCGGCGGUUGGGGAUGGACUCGCGGCUUAUCAGCUUGUUGGUGGGGUAGUGGCUUACCAAGGCUGUGACGGGUAGCCGGCCUGAGAGGGUGACCGGCCACAUUGGGACUGAGAUACGGCCCAGACUCCUACGGGAGGCAGCAGUGGGGAAUAUUGCACAAUGGGCGGAAGCCUGAUGCAGCAACGCCGCGUGCGGGAUGACGGCCUUCGGGUUGUAAACCGCUUUCGCCUGUGACGAAGCGUGAGUGACGGUAAUGGGUAAAGAAGCACCGGCUAACUACGUG
rnacentral:rRNA from 1 species